rnacentral:rRNA from 1 species
CAUGCAAGUCGAGCGAGAAGCUAACUUCGGUUAGUGGACAGCGGCGCACGGGUGAGUAACGCGUGGGAAUUUACCUUUCGGCGGGGGACAACAGUUGGAAACGACUGCUAAUACCGCAUACGCCCUACGGGGGAAAGAUUUAUCACCGAAAGAUAGGCCCGCGUUAGAUUAGGUAGUUGGUAGGGUCAAAGCCUACCAAGCCGACGAUCUAUAGCUGGUUUGAGAGAACGAUCAGCCACACUGGAACUGAGACACGGUCCAGACUCCUACGGGAGGCAGCAGUGUGGAAUCUUGCACAAUGGGCGAAAGCCUGAUGCAGCCAUGCCGCGUGAGUGAGAAGGCCUUCGGGUUGUAAAACUCUUUUAGAUGUGAAGAUGAUGACGGUAACAUCAGAAAAAGCACCGGCUAACUUCGUGCCAGCAGCCGCGGUAAUACGAAGGGUGCUAGCGUUGUUCGGAAUUACUGGGCGUAAAGAGCGUGUAGGCGGCUUAGCAAGUUAGAGGUGAAAUCCCAGGGCUCAACCCUGGAACUGCCUUUGAUACUGCCAGGCUUGAGAUCGUGAGGGGAUAGCGGAAUACCCAGUGUAGAGGUGAAAUUCGU